GCUAAUACAGAACAACCCACGUUCACAUGAGAUGAGAAAGUAACCUCCCCCCUCUACUCAUUCAGGUUCUUUCCUCCACAUGUAUCUGUAAUCUGUAUCAAGUUUCAUAAAAACUACUUUCAAAUGCUUUCACAUAGAACGUGAACCUGCAGGUAAGUUUGGGUUCUGAUUUAUACAUCUCUAAUGUGGGAUUCGUUUAGAAUCGGUUCUCCUAAAUUUGGUUACUGAAGUUAGUUUAUCUUAUAUGAAUUAAAUUUUUUUCCAUACGAAGCAUUUUUUAAUUAAUGAAUCAAGUUACUCAUUCCUUCUCAAUAGAUGUUCAUUGAUUUUCAAUUUGGAUUGUACUUUACCCUAACUGGUAAGAAUUUUCUUUGGUUGUCUAUUUGAUUUCCUAGUACAAUAAAAUUAAAAAAAUUAUUUCAAUUGGUUUCAGAAUUUCAAUCGGUGAUCUCGCAGAUUCGGUAAAUCCAAAGGAUGGUGCUGUUGUUUGUCAUCUCUUCAUCUUAGUUUUGGGCUUUGAGUAGAUUUCUUGUGUCUUACAUUUGGGAUAUUCCUGGUGUAUUUGCUAUUACAGAGAAAGCAAAGAUGAGAGGGAAAGAGUGGUACUUCAAUAGCUCUGGUGAGACAGAAAGGAAAGAUGAGUUGGCUAAAUUAUAAUCCGUAAAAUUCUGGACAAACUUAAAUCGUGGAGAAGCAAGUCCCAGUUCCCCUCAACUCUCUUCUUUCCUCGUCUUUCUUCAAUGUUUAGAUUUACAGAGAAGAAGGGAAUGUUAAGGUUUUUGAUUACUUCACCUAGGAUUCUGUAAUAAUCAUUUCAUCUGAUUUGAUUUUCUGAAUAUAGGGUUACUCUAUAAUCAACAAGAUCUCUAUGGAUUCUAGUCAGGUUUUUUUCUUCAACUGGACCAAGAAGAUUGAAUACGUAUGUGACACAUGAAAAUUGAUUGUCAGAGAUGAGGCUUGAGAUUUUAUUUGUAUCCAUGGUUAAGAAAUUGGAUCAGGUAAAGCCAGGCUUAGGUAUUUUGUUUUGUAUAAUAUUAGGUAGGCUUCAAUUCUAUCUUGAUACAUAAACAUUUGAUGUUGUUAUAUCAGCCAGGGUUGAUUUUUUUUUUUAUUUUUAUAUUCUCAUCUUAUACAUGAUUAUCGAAGUAGAACUAAACUGUGUGUAAUUAUCCUUUUUGCACAUAUAAUUUGGGGAGUUUCUUUAAGUAAUGAUCGGUUUUGUGAAAUCUAACUUAGAAUUCAUGUAGCUUCCAUUCAUAUGACAAUGUUAUUUGCGUUUUUGAAACAUACUUCUAUGUAUAAAUUAUCUUCCAUUCUGAAGCUAUAAUUCUUAAUAAUAAUCAGAUUGUGUUUUGACUAUGAUGACUAAUGACGUCUAAAUGCAGAUACUCAUUAUGAAUAAUACAGUAGGAAUUUGAGAUUACAAACUUUCAUCUGCUUAUGGAAGGAAAAGUUGCAUCUUCUAAUAUUGCUGCUGUCUUGGAAUGCAUUCGUGUCAGUUUGUAUCUGUUUUCCUUUUUCCCUUCGUGAUUAUUGUCAUUUUAAAUUUCAAUGUUGGUUUCAUGCUUUUGUUUUUGCCUAAAUUUGUUGUACAUGUAUCAUUUUUGUUUUUUGAGUUUGAAGGUAUGCGAACUUCACAACUGUGCAAAAGUGACCCUGACACACAUGAGUGUAUCAGACCCACUAACAAGGUUGCGAAUUCUGAUAUUUUUUUUGAACGAUUACUGACUAGUUAUAAUUUUCGCGGUCCAAGAAGAAAAAGGAAGAAGAUAUGUCAGCACAUUGUGCAAGAGAUUCGGUCUGUGCUAGACCGUUAGGUCAUCUUCCUGGUAAUAUGACGGUGUAACUGAACCACUCAUCUGCAGAGACUUUCACAGUUACCUUUCCUGGAAAUUUUUCUGAAGCAACAGAACUUGAUGAUAUUUCAUCAGUUGCAGCAUCAGAUUCAGACAAGUCACCUCAACAUAUCUCAUCAAGAAAUUUUGGUACUCGUAUUGGGGAAGAUGAUUACAGCGUCCAAUCAACGGUAUUAUGAUCCUUUUCAAUAUGUUAUCCAGCUCCGCGAAGACUAUUCCUAGCUCUAAGUACCUUAAAAGGGAAUUACGGUACUUACAUUCUUUCCUUGUAUCUUUGUGUAAACUUGAGAGGAGAAUUAUAAU